GAUGAACGCUAGCUACAGGCUUAACACAUGCAAGUCGAGGGGCAGCAUUUCAGUUUGCUUGCAAACUGGAGAUGGCGACCGGCGCACGGGUGAGUAACACGUAUCCAACCUGCCGAUAACUCGGGGAUAGCCUUUCGAAAGAAAGAUUAAUACCCGAUAGUAUAAUUAGACCGCAUGGUCUUAUUAUUAAAGAAUUUCGGUUAUCGAUGGGGAUGCGUUCCAUUAGGCAGUUGGUGAGGUAACGGCUCACCAAACCUUCGAUGGAUAGGGGUUCUGAGAGGAAGGUCCCCCACAUUGGAACUGAGACACGGUCCAAACUCCUACGGGAGGCAGCAGUGAGGAAUAUUGGUCAAUGGGCGCAGGCCUGAACCAGCCAAGUAGCGUGAAGGAUGACUGCCCUAUGGGUUGUAAACUUCUUUUAUAUGGGAAUAAAGUUUUCCACGUGUGGAAUUUUGUAUGUACCAUAUGAAUAAGGAUCGGCUAA
rnacentral:rRNA from 1 species